GACGAACGCUGGCGGCGUGCUUAACACAUGCAAGUCGAACGGAAAGGCCCUGCUUUUGUGGGGUGCUCGAGUGGCGAACGGGUGAGUAACACGUGAGUAACCUGCCCUGGGCUUUGGGAUAACUUCAGGAAACUGGGGCUAAUACCGGAUAGGAGCUCCUGCUGCAUGGGGGGGGUUGGAAAGUUUCGGCGGUUGGGGAUGGACUCGCGGCUUAUCAGCUUGUUGGGGGGGUAGUGGCUUACGAAGGCUUUGACGGGUAGCCGGCCUGGGAGGGUGACCGGCCACAUUGGGACUGAGAUACGGCCCAGACUCCUACGGGAGGCAGCAGUGGGGAAUAUUGCACAAUGGGCGGAAGCCUGAUGCAGCAACGCCGCGUGCGGGAUGACGGCCUUCGGGUUGUAAACCGCUUUCGCCUGUGACGAAGCGUGAGUGACGGUAAUGGGUAAAGAAGCACCGGCUAACUACGUG
rnacentral:rRNA from 1 species